ACCUUCUUAGGAUUUUGCCUGGAGAGUUUCCAGUAUUCUACCAGUCUCAAAUACAGGAGGUAGAGUCAAGCAGAGGCACACCCAUUCCAUUCCUAGCUUGGACAGUAGUUAGCUAGUGGAAGGCGAUCCGCUACAAGU